UACGUAGGGUGCGAGCGUUAAUCGGAAUUACUGGGCGUAAAGCGUGCGCAGGCGGUUCGUUGUGUCGGCGGUGAAAGCCCCGGGCUUAACCUGGGAAUGGCCGUUGAAACUGGCGAACUGGAGUGUGGCAGAGGGGGGUGGAAUUCCGCGUGUAGCAGUGAAAUGCGUAGAGAUGCGGAGGAACACCGAUGGCGAAGGCAGCCCCCUGGGCUAACACUGACGCUCAGGCACGAAAGCGUGGAGAGCAAACAGG
rnacentral:rRNA from 1 species